AUUCAUCUGACGAGUCCCAAAUAGGAUGAAACGCGCAUCCUGAAU
rnacentral:hammerhead_ribozyme from 1 species